CGUGGUAAAAAAAAUGUGACACGUUUGUUUUUACAUGUUUUGUCUUUCUUUCCAUGGGAUGAAGACUCUGUCACACCUGGUGUGAGACCCUUGCCUCCUCUGUCUAGUGUCCACAAGGUUCACAAUGCACAGGGCUGAUGUGCUCAGGGGCAGACUCAGGUGUCACAUGCACAGAUUCACUGUCCUAAUGCCUCAGUCUCUCACUCCCUCAGCUCAGCUCACCUGUCACCUCCCAUCAACACAUGUGUGAGCACAGGGCAGUGGUGUUGGGAGGAACUAAAUCAUGUCUACUACAUUACCCUGUUGUCAACAUACAAACACAUGUUUGAUGAACAAGGUAGGCCUUUUAUUCUAAAAUUACAUGUUAUGAGCAUGUGAGCAUUAUAUGCGUUCAAUGUCUUUGUGACUGUGUCAGAUCCCCGGAACUAUUGUUACAGACAACUGUGAGCUGUGGUGUGGUUGCUGGGAAUUGAACCUGGAUAUUCUGGAAGAGCAGCUGGUGCUCUUCACUUCUGAGCCAUCUCUCCAGCCCACUAUAUUUGAUAAAUAAGGAAUACAGAGUCAUAUGUUAUAUAUUUCUAAGGCCUACUCUGCUUCACAGUGAUAUUUGUCUUGGUUUAGUCCUUGUUCAUCUUGUUAAGCUUUAGCUAUUUGGAGAAACUGAGUCAUACAAAUCUGUGCUAUUCUAUAAUGGUAAACUAUAAAAGAUACCAGUCUCCUAUGGACUAAAGUUUAAGGCAUUUAUGUUUUAUUUAGAUGAUAAAGGAUCUUCACCUCAAAUUACUAAGGCUCAAACAUAACAGAGAUAAAAUCACAAAAUCAUAACCUUAUGAAAGUUACUGCCUUAUUGUAAACUUUUGAAGACAAUUGACACAUUCAAGUUAAGAACAGGAACAAGGUGUAUUUAGCCUCCUGUAUAUGUUUCCAAAGUUAAAACUAAAACAAGUUACUAGAAAGAAGGAAAGUUUGUUCAGUGUAGAUAUCCUUAUUAGCAAGCAGGCCUCAAAACUUUUCAGAGAUCUGCUGAAUAUGGCAUUUAAAAUGUUUAAUGGACAAGGCUUACUAUGACAGACAGAGACUCCCAGCUACUAGAAGUGACCCCCAGGUCUUCAGAGCAGAUGAAAGGGCAGAGAAGAAUUCCACCUUGAGAUUACUUUAAAUGUGACAAAGCCAGCCACUGGGUGAGAAUCUUCCCUUCAUCUCUCUGCCACCAGGACCCUGUUCAAACUGUGAAGGAGUAGGACACUGGGGAGUUGCUUUCCUUGCUUAGCUUAGACAAGGUAGGCUGCACCCCCAGGGUCCUCCUCCACUGGACAGUCGUUGGAUCUUCUGGAGCAGGCAGGGAACACUGAUGCUGCCCUGGAUCCUCUGUUCCCAGUGAAAUCAAGACUACCACAGCAGAACCUUCAGUGAUUGUCUAGACUCUCACUUGCUCCGGUGGAUAUCUGGCUGUGACAUGAGGUCGGACAGGAGCCUCCUCCUCAGGUAUAAUCAAUAAUCGUACGAUGGUGACAAUUACAUCGCUCUGAACAAAGACCUGACAACAUGGACAGUUGCAGACUCAGCCGUGCAGAUCACCCUAAGCAAGUAGGAGAAGGCUGAUGCUGCAGAGGAACACAGGGCCUACCUGGAUGGCAUGUGCCUGGAGUCGCUCAGCAGAUACCUGGAGCUCCGGAAGGAGAAGCUGCUAUGCACAGGUGCAGGAAUGCAUAGCUGAGAACUUCUGCUGUUUCUGUUGGUCCCUCCUGCUGACUGGAGCCUAGGCCUGCCUGUCUCUGCUAGGUUGUGUCACCACUGUUGCUAACCUGACUUUACCAAACCAGACUGCAGGUGUAUCUGUGAGAUGUUUGCAAGUGGACAGAGCUGCUGCUGCUGACCUGUGAACUGAACUGCUGAUUUCCAGAUAAUACAGACAGGAGUUGCUCCAAAAAACAAUUUCUAAACAGGUCCACUCCCCCAUUCCUCAACCAACACCAUGUACUUUCUUUUCCACUACCUCUGGUUGGUGGUGAGUUAAAAGGAAAGUUAAAGUCUUUAAGAACCAUCAUUAAAAAUAGGAUUUGAAAAAACUAAAGUUACACUGGUCCAGCAGGCAGAAGGGGGCAUCUGAAUCCUGUCAGCUCCAUGCUGCCCUGAGCUGCAUCUCCUCACUUCCACACUGAGAAUAGGAAUCUGAAUGUGAACUUGAUUGUUAACAUCCUUGACCUGAGAGUUGAUUGACAGGUAAACUGAGGGACAGAGAAUAUUUAGUGUUUCCUGGAGAAAAUAAUUGGCAGAUGGAGAAUCUUCCAGAAUCUGUGUCACUAAGCUGUGUGUAUCUAAGCUGUGUGUCACUAAGCUGUGUGGAACAGGAUGAGGUGGUGGGGGCUGAGUGUGAACAGCCGUCUGUGAGGAUGGAAUUCAUGCCCCCUGCAAAAAAUCUAUCAUACAAAGGUUCUUUAACCCCCUAGACUGGAGAGGUAUGUGCUCGCUACUUUACGUAGUCUUGCACAGUGGGAAGAAUUGUAUUGGAGAUGAAUGUUAGGUGCAAGAUAGAAAAAAUGACACAUGUAAACAAGAAAUAGGACCCCAACAAGAACAACCUCCCUCCAUUAAUAAAUUGGAACUAUAGCCAAUUGUUCGGCCAGUGUAGUUUCUCCACAGGUAUUUAGUAAUCCUUAUUCCCUGAUGGAUGCUUUAAGCAGGUCUGUUCAUGUACACUCCAGGCCUGGCACCAUUUAGCCCCCUAACUGCCUUCUUGUACCUAAAGUCAAUACCUCAGGACCAGCUGAUAGGGUUGAGUGGAGGGAACUCCUGCAACUAUAGCUAACAGCCCCACCAUUUGUGAAGAAGCUGUAGCUGGUGCAUUAAAAUCUAUUUUAAUUCAGGCCUCUGUAUAUUUCAUUACUUGGAUGACCUCUUAAUAUGACAAGCUAAAAGGCAAGAUGAAAACCUAACCUCAGAGAAUCUUAAACAACAAGCCAUGAAAGCCCUAACAGAAAGAGGCUUUAUAUUAUCCAAAGUUAAGAUUCAACUUGUUUGGGAUGGAGAGAUGGCUCGACAGUUAAGAGCACUGACUGCGGUUCCAGAGGUCCUGAGUUCAAUUCCCAGCAACCACACUGUGGCUAAAAACCAUAUGUCUUGGGAUCCAAUACUCUAUUCUGGUGUCUCUGAAGAGAGCUACAGUGUACUCAUAUAUGUAAAAUAGAAUAAAUCUUUAAAAAUGAAA